rnacentral:rRNA from 1 species
UACGUAGGUGGCAAGCGUUGUCCGGAUUUACUGGGUGUAAAGGGCGCGUAGGCGGGAUUGCAAGUCAGAUGUGAAAUGCCAGGGCUUAACCCUGGAACUGCAUUUGAAACUGUAGUUCUUGAGUAUCGGAGAGGCAGGCGGAAUUCCAAGUGUAGCGGUGAAAUGCGUAGAUAUUUGGAGGAACACCAGUGGCGAAGGCGGCCUGCUGGACGACAACUGACGCUGAGGCGCGAAAGCGUGGGGAGCAAAC